UACAGAGGUCCCGAGCGUUGUUCGGAUUCACUGGGCGUAAAGGGUACGUAGGCGGUGAGGUAAGUCGGAUGUGAAAUCUCCGGGCUCAACCCGGAAAUGGCAUUGGAAACUACCUUGCUAGAGGAUUUGAGGGGGGAUUGGAAUACUUGGUGUAGCAGUGAAAUGCGCAGAUAUCAGGAGGAACACCAAUGGCGAAGGCAGCUCGCUGGGACGGUACUGACGCUGAGGCGCGAAAGCGUGGGGAGCAAACAGG
rnacentral:rRNA from 1 species